AUGGACAACCAGAUUGCCAUCAAAGCUGUGGAUGCAGAGAAGUUCACGGUCAAAGGACUAACUAAAAAGGGUUUCUUCCUGGUCUGCAGCCAGCAACUUUCUGCUGUCUCUCCACAGAGCUGCGCGGGCACGGGCGCGGGUGAGCAGGGGCUCCGGGUGCACGGCCACCGAGGCUCGCCAGGCCCGGAGAACUCUAGCUCCCCCACGGAGUCGGCAGACUUCUACGAGGCGGAGCCGCGGCCACUGAUGAGCAGCCACCUGCAGAGCCCCCCCACCCCCAUACGAGCCCAGCAGGCCGCUUGGGCUCCCCCCCGCCCGCGUCUCCCCCGGCAUCUGUGAGCACGACACGUCCAUCGACAUCAGCACCUACAUCUGCCCGGCCGCCUUCAACGACGAGUUCCUGGCCGACCUGUUCCAGCACAGCCGGCAGCAGAAGGCCAAGGCGGCCGCGGACCCCGCGGGCGGCGGCAGCGGCGGAGAUUUUGACUACCCGGGCGCGCCCGCGGGCCCAGGCGGCGCCGUCAUGCCCGGGGGAGCGCACCAGCCCCCGCCCGUUACAGGUGCGCGGCCGCAGGCUACCUGGACUGCAGGCUGGAGCCCCUGUACGAGCGCGUCGGGGCGCCGGCGCUGCGGCCGCUUGUGAUCAAGCUGGAGCCCCGCGAGGAGGACAGGAAGCCAAGCAGCUGGCACUGGCCAGCCUCUUCCGGUACCAGCCGCUGACGCCGCCCUAGCACCCGCACCCGCCACCCAUGCAUCUGGCCACCCCGCACCUGCAAUUCCAGAUCUCGCACUGCGGCCAGACCACCAUGCACCUGCAGCCCUGUCACCCCACGCCGCCGCCCACGCUCAUGCCCAGUCUGCACCCAGCGUCCGCGCUUGGCGCCGCUGGCCUGCCGGGCCCCGGUGGCGCGCUUAAGGGCCUGGGCGCCGCGCACCCCGACCUCCGAGCGGGUGGUGGCGGCGGCACAGGCAAAGCCAGGAAGUCGGUGGACAAGAACAGUAACGAGUACUGUGUGCGGCCCAAGCACAACAACAUCGCUGUGCCCAAGAGCCACGACAAGGCCAAGCAGCGCAACGUGGAGAGGCAGCAGAAAGUGGUGGAGCUGACCAGUGACAAUGACUGCCUGCGCAAGCUGGUGGAACAGCUGAGCCGCGAACUGGACACGCUGCGGGGCAUCUUCCGCCAGCUGCCAGAGCGCUCCUUAGUCAAGGCCAUGGGCAACUGCGCGUGAGGCGCGCGGCUGCGGGACCGCCCUGGGCCAGCCUCUGGCAGGAACCCGGGGAGUGAUUUUGGGUCGCCGGAUCGCGAGGCUUGCUCCCGACGUGCGAGCCAGUACUAGGAGAUUCCGGUGCCGCCUGAAAGCCUGGCCUGCUCCGCGUGUCCCCUCCCUUCCUCUGCGCCGGGCUUGGUGCGUCUAAGAUGAGGGAGCCAGGCAGUGGCUUCUCCCUGCGAAGAGGUGAGAAUUCUUGGGGCUGAGCUGGGAGCCCCGUAACUCUAGUAUUAAGGAUAACCUUGUGCCUUGGAAAUGCAAACUCACCGCUCUGAUGCCUACCGAGUAGGGGGAGCAAAUCGUGCCUUGUCAUUUUAUUUGGAGGUAUCCUGCCUCCUUCCCAAGGCUACAGCAGGCCCCCAUGAGAGAAGGAGGGGAGCAGCCGGUGGCCGGAGGAGGAGGGCUCAGGUAGCUGAUAUACCGACAAGCCAGCCAGCCCCAGCCGCUCCUCCAUGCCUGUCUUAUAGAGGGGUGGAAACAUAGGGACUUGGGGCUUUGAACCUCAGGUUGUUCCGCUGGUUCUACAUGAAGGUGGAGGGUCUCUAGGUCUGCACCUCUCCCAUCCCUCCGCACACACCCCACCCCAGCCUGCCACACGUUGGGCUUCCCCCUGGGGCGGAACUCACUGAGAUGAGCCCCCGGGGUCACCAGGCGACCAGUGGGAGCCACCACCCUCAGACCACAAAGCUAGAUUGUGGGUCAGCUCUGAGGAUGUAUACCCCUGGCGUGAGAGGGGGGACCUGGCGAUCUGGCCGUGUGGUGGGCGUGGGGGGUGAAGGGCCACUGGGACCCUCAGCCUUAUUUGUAUUGUAUGCCUUCAGCAUUGCCAUAGGAACACAAAGCACGAUCAGUCCAUCCCAGAGGGACCGGAGUUAUGACAAGCUUUCCAAAUAUUUUGCUUUAUCAGCCGAUGUCAACACUUGUAUCUGGCCUCUGUGCCCCAGCAGUGCCUUGUGCAAUGUGAAUGUGUGCGUCUCUGCUAAACCACCAUUUUAUUUGGUUUUUGUUUUGGUUUGGUUUGGUUUUG